rnacentral:misc_RNA from 1 species
GAUGAAGAACGUAGCGAAAUGCGAUACGUAAUGUGAAUUGCAGAAUUCAGUGAAUCAUCGAAUCUUUGAACGCAAAUUGCGCUCUCUGGUAUUCCGGAGAGCAUGCUUGUUUGAGUAUCAGUAAACACCUCAACUUCCAUAUCUUUUUUUGAAAUGGGAGUUGGACUUGAGUGAUCCCAACGCUUUUCCUCACCGAAAAGUGGCGGGUUACUUGAAAUGCAGGUGCAGCUGGACUUUUCUCUGAGCUAUAAGCAUAUCUAUUUAGUCUGCCUAAAAAACAGAUUAUUACCUUUGCUGCAGCUAACAUAAAGGAGAUUAGUUCUUGUGCUGACUGAUGCAGGAUUCACAAAGACAGCUUCGGCCGACUUUGUAAACUCGAUCUCAAAUCAAGUAAGACUACCCGCUGAACUUAAGCAUAUCAAUAAGCGGAGGA